rnacentral:tRNA from 1 species
UGGCUCAGUGGUAGAGCGCUUGCCUUACAUGCAUGAGGCCCUGGGUUCAAUUCCUCA